AGGGAAUUAAGCUUAGACUUUGAAUUUGAGAGGAUUGUGGUGAAAAAAACAAACAAACAUAAACACACCAUCGUUCAUUGUAAAGGUCGCCCAACAAAACAUAACAACAACAUAAUGACUUGUGAUCAUUUGUCACAGUUUUCAGAGUUUAAAGAACCGUCUGGAUUCUGUAAAUCUCACAGUUAAAGCCUGCUUGCUGUGUUUCCUGGUUUUCUGAGCAAAGAUGAGAAACCUGCAGUCUGUCCUCUCACUUUCAUUCAGGAAGAGCAGAGCAGAGUCAGGAAGAGGAACCGAGGAAGACAGGAAGAAGGAGCCUGGCUGAGAACUGUGUUCAGGUGUGAGCACUACAGCUGCAGCACAACUGUGGACUCCACCCUGAUGAUUGUUUGACAGGUGGAGCAGUGAGUACUGAGGCUGUGCUUCAUCUCAUCCAGGACAACCUGAGAUGGAUGCUGGGAAAUCUGUGAUAUUCUGCUGGAUUCUGGUCGUCUGCUUUUCACUGGCUGCAUAUGCAGACCAGAAAACGAUCACAGCUGAGUCUGGACAGAACGUCACUCUGACAUGUCGAGCUGCAAACAACAACAUCAUUGUUGUUGUAGAGUGGAGCAGAGCUGAUCUGGAGCCAGAUUAUGUCCUCCUGUACCGUGAUGAGCGGUUUGAUCCAGAAAACCAGCAUCUAUCUUUUAAGAACCGGGUGGAUCUGCAGGACAGACAGAUGAAGGAUGGAGACGUGUCUUUGAUUCUGAAGGAUGUGACGAGUGCUGAUAAUGGAACAUAUGAGUGUCGUGUCUUCAUGAGAGGAGCAAACCGCAGGAAGAGAGCUCAUCUGAAGACUGAGCCCAUCACCACCAUCAGGUUAAAUGUUCUUCCAGGUGAGUGGUGAAAAGAGGUGAAGCUGCUUCCUGGUUGUUGAUGUUUGUUUCUAAAGAUGUUGUUGAUGAGACUUUGUAGAAAGCAGCUGGUCUGAGUGAUGUGAUCAGAGUGCAGUAGAUAAUGUCUGACAGCAGUUUGAAGAGGAAAUGGAUUCUGUUCUGUUCUUCACUCAUCACCUACCUGACAGCUGACACCUCACACCUGUUUCUCACCUGCAGGUCAGACAGGAGGACACACAGAGGAUGGAGGGAAGGAGGAUGAAGGGAAGGAGGAUGGAUCUGUUGGAGUGAUCGUUGGUGUGGUAGUUGCUGUUGUCCUUCUUGUUGUUGUUGGUGUUGGUUUGUUGAUCUACAGAAAGCUUAAAGAGCAUGACUGUCAGCCAGUUUGAAACUUAGACUAAACAUUUAUUUAUUCCAAAUAGAUAAUAAAUUUUGUGCUUAAAGAAUGUAGUGUUUUUUCCCCCAAUCAUGUAAGUGAAACAGGAGCAGACUGAAAUGUCACAUGUGCCAUCAAGAAGUGCCAAAAUAAGAUUUUCAUGAAUUUUUUAUAUUUUCUUUUAUCUUUAUGCAAAACAUCAAUAAACAGUCCAGCAGAUAUGUUCAGGUUUCAUGUUUAAACAUUGAUUAUAAAGUUUUUAAAGAAAUACAACUGAUCCAAAGAUAAAUUAAGAGGUUUAGUCUUAUAGCAGACUAAACCUCUCUUUAUACUGUGAGCUGUUUCUGCUACUUCCUGUUCUCGACCUCCUGCUGAGCUAACGUCUCAUGUGAUCAGGUAGAGGCUAAUUAGGGGGUCACUCCCCUACACUCCCACAGGGCUUAAAUCUGGGACUCUCCACCAUUUGCUCUUAGAACUGAAGAAGCUUCUCAGAUGAGAAGUGAAACGUCUUCAAGCAGCUCAAACAAGUCCAGACACUUUUCUUUCCAAGCUUCUUAAAGUACGAUGACCUGGAUGACUGAGAACCUUCACAGACAAUGUCUCUGUAACUUUACCUUUAGUUUCCAACUACCUGCUGCUUCACUUUAAACAGAUAAAACACUCAUGUUUAUAUAUAUAUAUAUAUAUAUAUAUAUACAUAUAUAUAUAUGUAUAUAUAUAUAUAAAAAGCUUCUAAUGUUUCUCAUAUGCAGCUUUAAGCACUGCACACACUUCUUAACUUUGUUGCAGCACACUGUAUUUAAUAUAUUUACUAUUGUAACGUGUAUUACAUCUAAUGUGGAUGAUGAGUAAGAUUCACGUUAAUUUUUUAUGUAAAAAUGAAGCUGUUGACUCAGUUCAUGCAGUUUGCAGCGACUUUCUGUUUCUAAUGUUUUUACUGUAAAAGUGCAUUCAGAUGGUGUUUGUUGUUUCCUGGUGCUUCAUGAUUAAUCCUGCAGUGAAACUGAAUAAUCUGAGCUGGACUCAAACAUACCACACUGAGCAGACGAACCAAGAAUCAAACUGCAUUAAAACCUGAUGGAAAACCUGCUCACUGACUUUCUCCCACUUUGACUGAAACUGUAUCCAGAGACUCGAUUUAAAGAUUAAUUAUUAUUAUUGUUGUACAACAUCUGCAC
rnacentral:lncRNA from 1 species